AACUCAGGAAGAAGAUUCUGGGUGUCUUCACCAUGACUUGGACUCCACUACUCCUCAUCUUCCUUCAUCAUUUAACAGGGUCAUGUGCCCAGUUUGUGCUAACUCAGCCAAACUCUGUGUCUGGGACACUUGGCAGCACAGUCACCAUCUCCUGCAAGCGCAGCAGUGGUAACAUUGGAAGCUACUAUGUGCACUGGUACCAGCAGCACAUUGGAAGUCCACCCACCAAUGUGAUCUAUGAUGACAAUCAAAGACCAUCUGGGAUUCCUGAUCGGUUCUCUGGCUCCAUUGACAGCUCCUCUAACUCAGCCUCACUGACCAUCACAGAACUGCAGAUUGAGGAUGAGGGUGACUACUACUGCCUGUCUUCUACUAAUGGCUAUAGCCACAGUGAUGAGAAUUAUUGGGAA